GAGACAUUAGCAGAGAAAGAAGAUAGGAGUGACUGAUACACAAUAAGCUUCCUGACAGACUGGCAGCAGCUAGUGAGACUGGGAAAACCCACAUCCAACAGCUGCACCAUCAGCACUGGAGCUCCUCAGGGCUAUGUUCUCUCCCCACUGCUAUUCUCGCUCUGCACAAUUGACUGUACCUCUACUGACAAACUCCUGAAGUUUGCAGAUGACAACACAGUCAUCAGCCUCAACCAGGAUGGCAACGAGUCUGCUUAUAGACAAGAUGUUGAGCAGCUGUCUGUCUGAUGCAGUCACAACAACCUGGAGCAGAAAACUCAAAACUGUGGAGAUGAUCCUAGAUUUCAGGAGGAACCCCCCACUUUCCCCACACUCACCCUCAUGGACAGCACUGUGACUACAGUGGGGUCAUUCAGGUUCCUAGGAGCCACCAUCCCUCAGGACCUGAAGUGGGACAUUCACAUCGUGAAAAAGGCCCAGCAGAGGUUGUACUUCCACAUGAAUCAUAACCUGUGUUCUGUAAUUCAUUCUACUUCUUUAUUUCCUUCUCAAGGAUUAUGUUAAUACAAAUGCAUAGCUCUUUAUUUAUACAGCUGUAAAUGGAGUAAAUAAUGCUGUAAGUCUGUACAUGAAUCUAAUGUUCCAGACUCAUACACAUUAUUUAUUGUGAAGUCUUGUUAUUGAAGUGUUUUUCUGUUCUCAUGUCAAAUAUGUGUGUUAUGUGUAUCAGGAUCACCUUAAAAAAAAUUCAUUGUGUUUGCACACACAUAUAAGCGAAGAGAGCUAAUUCUUAUCUAUUUUGAAAUAAGUUCAAUUCAGCAGCUCUACAGAAAACUAUAGCCAUAAUUAAGUUUUGAUUAUCAUUGCAGUCAUAUCAGUAUUCCUGAAUAUUUUACACUAGUGACAUCUGUUAUCCGAAGUGGCGGUUAUAUCACUGUAUUUUAAAUGUAUUCAUAAUUUUGUGAACCUGGUCUGGAAGAUAUUAAAAAAAAAAUGUAAUUUUAAGUCAUCUUAUGGCAGAUUUGGGGAUCAGUGAAACUAACUUGUACCUGAUGGCAUAGAGGUAGAUCCCUUCCAUGCCCAGAAUUCAAUAUAAGAACAGACAUCUUUGCUUCUAAAGGAAAUGCAUAAUGCUGAACGAUUUCACUACCUUCAAAA